rnacentral:lncRNA from 1 species
UUAGAAUUUGAUUAAAAUUUGGUUUAGGGUUUAGAAUUUGGUUAGAAUUUGAUUUAAGAUAAGGAUUUGGUUUAGGAUUUAGAAUUUGGUUAGAAUUUGGUUUAGGAUUUAGGGUUUGAUUAGGAUUUGAUUAAAGUUUAGGAUUUGGUUAGGGUUUGAUUUAAGAUUUAGGAUUUGAUUAAGAUUUGUUUUAAGAUUAGGAUUUAGAAUUUGGUUAGGAUUUAUUUAGGAUUUAAAAUUUAGUUAGUUUUUAGUCUAAAGUUUAAAUGAAGUCCAAUAAGAUUUUAACUAGGAUUAAAUUAAGAUUUAAUUGAAAUAUAUUUGAGAUAUAUUUGUCAGUAUUUUAAUAUUUCUUUAAGAUUUCUUAUUAUUUCUUUGUAAUUCUUUUGAAGUUUCUUUGAAUUUGAUUAAAUUUUGCUUAAUAUUAUUAUGAUUUAAUUAGAAUUUAAUUAGUACUCUAUUAGAAUUAGGAUUUUGUUGUUGUAAUUUCCAUUCUACUUUCUAUAGCCAGGUGCCCGGAGCAUUCUCAAGCAAAACUUCACGUAUUAUGACAACGUUCUUUCUUGUCUUCCUUUCAAUUGGCAUAUUUUUCUUAAUGUAAUAUUUUUAUUUUUGUUAACUAUAAACUUUCAUCAUAUAAUACUAAAAUUGCUUUCUAUUUCCAAUCUAACUAUAUAUUUGGCUUUACUUUUGAAUCAGUAUCCAUUUUAUAACUUCUUUGUACAACAUCCAAAACCACUUAUUUGGCAAUUAAUUCCUAACACUCAAUACUAUUGUCGAUCCUCAACAACUGUGUCAAAAUAAAAUUAUUGUUUUACUUAUUCUUCAAAUAUUUUCUCAAAAUAAACUUGUAAAGGAGAGUUCAAAGAUAGAGAAAGAAUAUUUGCAUGAGUUUACACAUUAGGAUCACACAAUUAACUGUCUUCUCAUCUACUAAAAACAUCCAAGAAAGCUACAAUGCCUUUUUCAUUCUAUCAAUUCUUCUUCUCAUAA